rnacentral:RNase_P_RNA from 1 species
GGGUUGACCGAGGGAAUCGCGGCAGGACGCGAGCCUGUCGAGGAAAGUCCGCACUCCAAAGGGCAGCGAUGCCGGCUAACGGCCGGGCAGGGCGACCUGACGGCAAGUGCAACAGAGAGCAGAUUGCAUCUUGGUUGAUGCGAGGGUGAAAGGGUGCGGUAAGAGCGCACCGGCAGCGGCAGUGAUGCCGCUGGCCAGGCAAACCCCAUCGGGAGCAAGGUGAAGCAGGCGCAGUGGAGCGGCCCGUUCCCCAAAAAGCGCCGGGUGCACCGCUAGAGCUCGGCGGCAACGCCGAUCCCAGAUAGAUGAUUCCCGCGUCUUUGACGGACAGAAUGCGGCUUAUAUGGCCAACCCGGUU